rnacentral:rRNA from 1 species
UAAGCGAAUAGUGAAAUCUGGUGGCUCAACCAUACAGGCUAUUAUUCGAACUGGCUAACUCGAGAAUGGUAGAGGUAACUGGAAUUUUCUUGCGUAGGAGUGAAAUCCGUAGAUAUAAGAAGGAACACCAAUGGCGUAGGCAGGUUACUGGACCAUUUCUGACGCUAAGGCACGAAAGCGUGGGGAGCGAACCGGAUUAGAUACCCUGGUAGUCCACGCCCUAAACGAUGCGAAACUG